CAAAAUUUUUUUCUCUUAUAAACUUAGAGGAUGCUCAUGAAAUGAUUAUAUUUUACUCUGGAAGUAUUUUGUACAUAUAUUAACCAAACAAUUGGUUAAGAACCAAAAAUCAUUUCAAAUUU